AGAGUUUGAUCAUGGCUCAGAUUGAACGCUGGCGGCAGGCUUAACACAUGCAAGUCGAGCGGAUGAAGGUAGCUUGCUACUGGAUUCAGCGGCGGACGGGUGAGUAAUGCUUAGGAAUCUGCCUAUUAGUGGGGGACAACGUUCCGAAAGGGGCGCUAAUACCGCAUACGUCCUACGGGAGAAAGCAGGGGACCUUCGGGCCUUGCGCUAAUAGAUGAGCCUAAGUCGGAUUAGCUAGUUGGUAGGGUAAAGGCCUACCAAGGCGACGAUCUGUAGCGGGUCUGAGAGGAUGAUCCGCCACACUGGGACUGAGACACGGCCCAGACUCCUACGGGAGGCAGCAGUGGGGAAUAUUGGACAAUGGGGGGAACCCUGAUCCAGCCAUGCCGCGUGUGUGAAGAAGGCCUUUUGGUUGUAAAGCACUUUAAGCGAGGAGGAGGCUACCUAGAUUAAUACUUUAGGAUAGUGGACGUUACUCGCAGAAUAAGCACCGGCUAACUCUGUGCCAGCAGCCGCGGUAAUACAGAGGGUGCGAGCGUUAAUCGGAUUUACUGGGCGUAAAGCGUGCGUAGGCGGCCAAUUAAGUCAAAUGUGAAAUCCCCGAGCUUAACUUGGGAAUUGCAUUCGAUACUGGUUGGCUAGAGUAUGGGAGAGGAUGGUAGAAUUCCAGGUGUAGCGGUGAAAUGCGUAGAGAUCUGGAGGAAUACCGAUGGCGAAGGCAGCCAUCUGGCCUAAUACUGACGCUGAGGUACGAAAGCAUGGGGAGCAAACAGGAUUAGAUACCCUGGUAGUCCAUGCCGUAAACGAUGUCUACUAGCCGUUGGGGCCCUUGAGGCUUUAG
rnacentral:rRNA from 1 species